rnacentral:misc_RNA from 1 species
AAGUCGUAACAAGGUUUCCGUAGGUGAACCUGCGGAAGGAUCAUUAAUGAAUUUUGAAACGGGUUGUAGCUGGCCUUCCGAGGCAUCUCGUGCACGCCCUGCUCAUUUGUCCUCAUCUCAUACCUGUGCACACUCUGUAGGACGGUUGUAGCAGUGAAGCCUUCAGUGGCUUUGCUAUGCGUAGCCUUCCUAUGUUUUUAUCACACACACUAUUCAGUUUAAAGAAUGUCCUUUGCGUCUAACGCAUUUAAAUACAACUUUCAGCAACGGAUCUCUUGGCUCUC